GACGAACGCUGGCGGCGUGCUUAACACAUGCAAGUCGAACGAAGUGGCGAACGGGUGAGUAAUACGUGGGUAACCUGCCCUCCUUUUUGGGAUAAGCCUUGGAAACGGGGUCUAAUACCGAAUAAGGGGGGAUGUGCUCGCGGCCUAUCAGCUUGUUGGUGGGGUGAUGGCCUACCAAGGCGGUGACGGGUAGCCGGCCUGAGAGGGGGACAGGCGAGAUGGGGACUGAGAUACGGUCCAUAACCCUACGGGAGGCAGCAGUGGGGAUAUGGCACAAUGUGCGAAAGCCUGAUGCAGCGACGCCGAGUGGGUGAUGAAGGCUUUAGGGUUGUAAACCUCUUUCGAUAUCGAUCGGGUAGGUGGAGAAGAAGCGCCGGCUAACUACGUGCCAGCAGCCGCGGUAAUAC
rnacentral:rRNA from 1 species